GACGAACGCUGGCGGCGUGCUUAACACAUGCAAGUCGAACGGAAAGACCCUGCUUUUGUUGGGUUCUCGUUUGGCGCACGGGUGAGUAACACGUGAGUAACCUGCCCUUGAAUUUGGGAUAAAUUCAGGGAACAGGGGAUCAUACCGGGUAGAAGCUCCUGAUGCAUGGGGGGGAUUGGAGAGUUUCGGCGGUUGGGGAUGGACUCGCUGCGUAUCCGCUUGUUGGUAAGGUAGCGGCUUACCCAGGCUUCGACGGGUAGCCGGCCUGAGAGGGUGAUCGGCCACACAGGAACGGAGACACGGUCCAGACGCCUACGGGAGGCAGCAGUAGGGAAUCUGCCGCAAGGGGCGAAAGCCUGACGGAGCAACGCCGCGUGAGUGAUGAAGGUCUUCGGAUCGUAAAACGCUGUUAUUAGGGAAGAACAAAUGUGUAAGUAACUAUGCACGUCUUGACGGUACCUAAGCAGAAAGCCACGGCUAACUACGU
rnacentral:rRNA from 1 species